rnacentral:rRNA from 1 species
GGGGAAUAUUGCACAAUGGGCGCAAGCCUGAUGCAGCCAUGCCGCGUGUAUGAAGAAGGCCUUCGGGUUGUAAAGUACUUUCAGCGAGGAGGAAGGCGUUGUAGUUAAUAGCUGCAACGAUUGACGUUACUCGCAGAAGAAGCACCGGCUAACUCCGUGCCAGCAGCCGCGGUAAUACGGAGGGUGCAAGCGUUAAUCGGAAUUACUGGGCGUAAAGCGCACGCAGGCGGUCUGUCAAGUCGGAUGUGAAAUCCCCGGGCUCAACCUGGAACUGCAUUCGAAACUGGCAGGCUAGAGUCUUGUAGAGGGGGGUAGAAUUCCAGGUGUAGCGGUGAAAUGCGUAGAGAUCUGGAGGAAUACCGGUGGCGAAGGCGGCCCCCUGGACAAAGACUGACGCUCAGGUGCGAAAGCGUGGGGAGCAAAC